rnacentral:tRNA from 1 species
UCCCUGGUGGCUCACAGGUUAAAGCAUCUGCCUGCAAUGCAGGAAACUUGGGUUCCAUCCCUGGGUGGGGAA